rnacentral:rRNA from 1 species
AUUUAACCUUUAAAAUUUUUAUCUUAAAAUUUUAUAAACUUUACUUCUUAAAAAAUAUAUUUAAAUUUAAAUUUUGGAGUUUUUUUUAAUCACUAAUAUUUUCUAAUUUUAUAUUUUUAUUUUAAAUUUAUAGCAAAAAAAAAAUUAAUUAUUUACAACUUUUAAAAAAUACUGUAUAUAGUUACAAUUAUUACACUUAAAAAUUUAAUUCCUUUCACAUAGCAGCAAAAUGUUUAUCUAUUUUUUAUACUUUUUAAAUUUAAAAAUUAUUUAAAACUAACAACUUAAUUUUAUACUAUUAAAAUAAUUUGUAUUAAUUUCAUAUAAAUUUUGAUUUUUUUGCUAUUUUUUAAAAAAAUAAUAUAAUUUUUAAAUGAAUAUUAUUUACACUUUAUAUAAUUUUAAAUUUUUAUAUUUUAUAUAAUUUAAUUUCCUUAUAACUAUAUAGCUAACAUUUAUUUUACUUAAUAUUUUAUAUAUGUUUUAUUUAAUAAAAGCUAAUUUUAUACUUUUAAACUUUAUGUCUUUAAAUUUAUUUAAAUUAUACUUUUUUAUUUAUAUACACUUUUUUAUUAAUUUAUUCAUAAAAAUAUUUAAAUCCAAGUUUAUUUAAUGCUUUUCUAUUUGUAAUUUAUAAAUUUUUUUUUGUGUAUAUUAUUUUUAAAAAAAUAUUUCUACUUUAUUUUUAAUAACUACACCUUUAAUUUCUAUAUUUGUAGCUAAAUAAUUUAUUAGCUAAUUACUAACUUGUUCCACUAAUUAAUAUUUAUAUAUAUUAUACUAUUAUACAUUAAAUAACUAAUACAUAUUUAAUAUAAUAUUUAUACAUGUUAAAGGGCAAGUCCUUUUUUACUUUACAUUUAAUUUUAAAAUUUUCAUAUUAUAAAUUAAAAAUUGUAUGUUUGGUUGGGAUAACAUAAUAUCUUAUUAUAUUAUUUAAAAAUAGAUC